CUGCUUGGGACAAGCGGCUUCAGACAGUGUGUGUGUGUGUGUGUGUGUGUGUGUGCUAUAUACUGUAAAUGAAAGCAAUAUGUCGUACCAGUGUGUCUGACAUCAGAGUCUGUGAUCUGUUUGUUUUAGAAGCUGUCGUUUCUAAGGAGAAGACAAAGCUGAUACUUCCAAGAAGAGCUGUCCAAGUUAAAGUUGAAAAGACCACAAAGCCACAUGAACCAGUGAAAGAAGUCAAAACUAAGGAGCAUAAAGGUGCAAGUACGUCAUAAAAGAUGUGUUUUCCGAGAAAGAUAUUUAACAAAGUUAUCCAGCCUAUUACUUUUUGUGGUUUUGCAGUGAUUAGAUCUUUUUUUUUAACAGAGCUUGACAGAGAGAAGCUCAAAAUUUUGCUUAAGAGGGCUAAGGCCAGAUUUUCUAACUCUCAUAUUGGUGUUCUUGUGUUUAUUACACUGGUGUGAAUAAUUAAGACUAAGAAUACUCCACACAUAGCAAACAACAGCAAAUGUAUUCAGUAUGAGCAACACAAAAACUAAAAAUAGACUUUAAUGUAGCAGCAAUAUAGCUUUGCAUCAAUUCUCUAAUGGCCAGAUGUUUAUUCAUGCAGAACCUGAAAAAGAAAGGCCUAAACCUUUGGUGAAAAAGGACACUGAAAAAGAAAAGAUGAAAACUGCGCUAAAGAAAGAGGAGAAAAUGAAGGAUCUCAAAGUCCCUGCGGCUGAAGCACAGACAAAGCCCCGUCAUGCUGCAAAAAUGACCCCACCAGGGAGAGGUUCCUCUACUCAUCCAAAAGCCGAAACAGGUAGGCCAGCUCAGGUCGACACAAAGUCAACAAAGGAUGCAAAAGAACAAGAUGGGAAAACUCCAAAACCAUCAAAACCUGCUGGUGUGGAGGAGGCCAAGGCCAAGACAGAGCCAGGUAAGUGUCACGGACUCCUUCCUCGACCACCCGUGCAUUUUCACCCCGUUCGCCACCUCAUUAGAGGGCCGCGGUCCGCACCAGGUCCACAGGGUCCAUUUCAGAAGCUGGGACCAGGUCACGAUGGAACUGAUAGGUUCAGACUGAAUCCUUUGUUCCGAAAGUUUUUGGGCCUGGGGGGGGGUGACAUUAUCUUCUCAAAUGUCCUUGUACACUGAGUGGGAAAGGACACUCUGUUUCCCUGUCCAGUCUGGCAGUCACCAACGUGUCCCUUCCCUUCCAAUGUCCUUCCUUUCAGCCAAAAUGCCCUACUUCCAGUGUGUCCUUCUUCGCUCCAAAAACACCAAGUACCCUCUAUACCCUUUCACCCCUGCUCAAAGUCCCAUCACCAAGCCCCAGCCGCCAGAAAGGAGAGCCAGGGCAGCUGGGCACUAAGACAGCGCCUCCUACAGGUCAAGUUAAUUUCUCACCGCAGCUGUCCCCUGCGACUGGAGGGCUGUUCUCUUGCUGGGGCCAUUGUGGGCCACAAGCAUCUUAAGAGGUCUUGACUGUUAACCAAGGAUGAUCUUGAACAAAGAGGAUGAAUGGUUCUUUAACUUUUUUGUUUUUCUUAAGACUGGUCGAGCUUCCAUCACUGUUGGUGUAUGAACCCCAUUCCUUUACAUGCAGCCGUGAUGAUGUCUUGCAGUGUUUGUCUCUUCCUCCGUUUCAGUGCUGUGUCAAAAAAGCACUUAUGAAAAUUCAAUUAUGAAAGAAGCAGAAUGCAUCACGAUUAUUAAUCCACUGUGGUGGUUUCGAUAUCAUGAGUGACACAGCUUAUCUUAUAUAGUUUGAUUUUUAUUUUUGACGGCCAAAAGAAUACGAAGUUUAACCGAAAAAAUCAAUUUAUUGUCAGCUUGUACGUAUAAAUAGACAUAUACUGUAUAUAAUUUAGUGUAAAUUUGCAGUUUACAGUUGGGGUUUCUCAAAUUCAAUUUGAGAUAUUUCAUCGUGCUAAUGCGCCUCAAUCUCAAAAUGUGCAAAGAGAAAUAUUAGUUUAUAUAUAAUAAUUUAUUUGCUAUAUGUGUACAUUUACUAAUUAAUUUGUAUGGUGGCAAUAUCUUAAAUUAUUGUCCACCGUGGCAAUAUCUUAAAUUGUUUUUAAACUAUAUAUUUAAUUAAUUUAUUGUAAAUGUGACAUGAUACUGUGGAAUGUGUGUCGUAGUGCAGGGAAUGUUGAAAACAUGUAUGUUAAUGUUUUUGACCCAAAAAGAAUCUGUGUGUGUGUGUGUGUGUGUGUGUGUGUGUGUGUGUGUGUGUGUGUGUGUGUGUGUGUGCGCGCCGCUCUAUUUGUGUUUAUCUGUAAAUUUAUGUCAGCUUCCUAUGUCUCGUUCUGCACCACUGUUUCCCAUAAGCCCUGUCUGGCAGCAAAAAAAAAAUCUUUGAAACAUGUUUUUGCUUGUUUAGAAGAAGAACUAUUUCUGGCUCAGCAUUUCUUAUUUGCGUUACACAUUUGGGAACCACAAACAAUAAAGCUGCUGUGGAAAGUUCGAAUUUGUUUUAC
rnacentral:lncRNA from 1 species